CACUAAGAAGCUAUUAGCGUUAACCUUUUAAGUUAAAGACUGGGAAAACGACUUCCCCUUAGUGA
rnacentral:tRNA from 1 species